rnacentral:tRNA from 1 species
GGAGGGGACAGCUCAGAGGUAGAGCACAUGCUUAGCAUGCGUGAGGUCCUGGGUUCCAUCCCCAGUGCCUCCA